rnacentral:lncRNA from 1 species
GUUGAUUCGAUGCACGAUUACAAUCAAUUCUAUGCUCCGCGUGCCGAGUUCUAAAGAAUUGCAUAUAAAACUUUAAUGUCAUUGCAGAUCUAUCUCACUAAAUACAAUGUUUUGGAAAAUUGUUGGCUUCUAUAAUCAUAUGCUGUUGGUACAUUCAAUUAAAAGCCAAUCCUAGAAAUCUAAUUGUGUAAAGGAAAUGUGAAGAGCAAACCAAAAAAAAAAAAAAAAAAUGGAAAAAAGGAAAUGGAAUCUUCAUUGAAUAUUGCAUCUGAGGCAGCCAACAUUAGGGCUCAAUAUCAACAUCAGGAGGAUAUUUUGGUAAUUGCACAGAACUGAAAACAUGUCUGGGAACUUGUUGCAGCGAGUAAGCAAGGCCCAUGAAACGACUGUCGUUUACCCUUGUUCUUGAGCUUGAAAAAAACCCUAAAUCUGCUGAUUACAAUAAGAAAGUUUCUCAUUAAUUUUAGUAAAACAGAAUAUGAAGAUGGAUUAAGAUCCUUAACGAGAAAUAAACAAAAAUAAUAUUUGCGAAUAAGAACAAAACUAAUCAUAUUUAAGGUACAAAAUCAACACCAAAACUGCUUCCUUAAACUGUAAAACCCUAGUUAAGGAAUUUGUAAAACUGUGCUGUUUUCCAGGAGCAGAAAGAGGUAUGCCUUUUCUGAUGCAGUUUAAGGUGAAAAUAUUUUUCAAAGAACAGAAAAUAAUUAACAGAUUAUAAUAGAGAAUAAUGAAAUUUGAUUGAUUGCUAAACAGAACUAAAAUCUAAAAUGAAAAUCAAAUCAUUUACUGAACAUAUAAGCUGCACUGGAUAAGAAAACAGUGGAAGGGAGCUCCCUUCAGUCCAAGUACAGAAAACUUAAGAUUCAACCUGACUCUCGCAUCAUUCAUUCAGUUACGAUGCAUAAUUAAUAAACUACACAGUAUUUGGAUGAAUGAGUCGACAGCAAAUUGAAUCCUACUGUCCCCCAUAACUGGACUGAAGAAAGCUCUUUUCUAAAGUUGCAUCAUCAAUAAUCAAUAAAAAUGAAAGUAGAACAAUUUCAAGCAUCUAUCCAUAGAAUAAAAAUGGAGAAUCUGCCACAGUCAACAACGCAUAAAAAAUCCCAAGGACUAAAUUUUGGAGCUCCCUUUUACUUUUUAGCUUAAUAUAUAUUGGAAGUUGUCUUUAGGAAAGAGUGGUUAGAAGGAGGAAGGAGAAAGAGGAAGGCUAUGGCUUUUCUUUGGGGUGAGGAGACGGAGCAAAAGCCUAAAGGGCUGGGAAAUUCACUUCAUCGCUU